GGUUAAGCGACUAAGCGUACACGGUGGAUGCCCUGGCAGUCAGAGGCGAUGAAGGACGUGCUAAUCUGCGAUAAGCGUCGGUAAGGUGAUAUGAACCGUUAUAACCGGCGAUUUCCGAAUGGGGAAACCCAGUGUGUUUCGACACACUAUCAUUAACUGAAUCCAUAGGUUAAUGAGGCGAACCGGGGGAACUGAAACAUCUAAGUACCCCGAGGAAAAGAAAUCAACCGAGAUUCCCCCAGUAGCGGCGAGCGAACGGGGAGGAGCCCAGAGCCUGAAUCAGUGUGUGUGUUAGUGGAAGCGUCUGGAAAGGCGCGCGAUACAGGGUGACAGCCCCGUACACAAAAAUGCACAUACUGUGAGCUCGAUGAGUAGGGCGGGACACGUGGUAUCCUGUCUGAAUAUGGGGGGACCAUCCUCCAAGGCUAAAUACUCCUGACUGACCGAUAGUGAACCAGUACCGUGAGGGAAAGGCGAAAAGAACCCCGGCGAGGGGAGUGAAAAAGAACCUGAAACCGUGUACGUACAAGCAGUGGGAGCCUCUUAAUGGGGUGACUGCGUACCUUUUGUAUAAUGGGUCAGCGACUUAUAUUCUGUAGCAAGGUUAACCGAAUAGGGGAGCCGAAGGGAAACCGAGUCUUAACUGGGCGUUAAGUUGCAGGGUAUAGACCCGAAACCCGGUGAUCUAGCCAUGGGCAGGUUGAAGGUUGGGUAACACUAACUGGAGGACCGAACCGACUAAUGUUGAAAAAUUAGCGGAUGACUUGUGGCUGGGGGUGAAAGGCCAAUCAAACCGGGAGAUAGCUGGUUCUCCCCGAAAGCUAUUUAGGUAGCGCCUCGUGAAUUCAUCUCCGGGGGUAGAGCACUGUUUCGGCAAGGGGGUCAUCCCGACUUACCAACCCGAUGCAAACUGCGAAUACCGGAGAAUGUUAUCACGGGAGACACACGGCGGGUGCUAACGUCCGUCGUGAAGAGGGAAACAACCCAGACCGCCAGCUAAGGUCCCAAAGUCAUGGUUAAGUGGGAAACGAUGUGGGAAGGCCCAGACAGCCAGGAUGUUGGCUUAGAAGCAGCCAUCAUUUAAAGAAAGCGUAAUAGCUCACUGGUCGAGUCGGCCUGCGCGGAAGAUGUAACGGGGCUAAACCAUGCACCGAAGCUGCGGCAGCGAC
rnacentral:rRNA from 1 species